rnacentral:rRNA from 1 species
CCGACCUCAGAUCAGGCGAGACCACCCGCUGAGUUUAAGCAUAUCACUAAGCGGAGGAAAAGAAACUAACAAGGAUUCCCUUAGUAGCGGCGAGCGAACCGGGAAGAGCC